rnacentral:rRNA from 1 species
GACGAACGCUGGCGGCGUGCCUAAUACAUGCAAGUUGAGCGAUGAAGAUUGGUGCUUGCACCAAUUUGAAGAGCAGCGAACGGGUGAGUAACGCGUGGGGAAUCUGCCUUUGAGCGGGGGACAACCUUUGGAAACGAAUGCUAAUACCGCAUAACAACUUUAACCAUAAGUUUUAAGUUUGAAAGAUGCAAUUGCAUCACUCAAAGAUGAUCUCGCGUUGUAUUAGCUAGUUGGUGAGGUAAAGGCUCACCAAGGCGAUGAUACAUAGCCGACCUGAGAGGGUGAUCGGCCACAUUGGGACUGAGACACGGCCCAAACUCCUACGGGAGGCAGCAGUAGGGAAUCUUCGGCAAUAGACGAAAGUCUGACCGAGCAACGCCGCGUGAGUGAAGAAGGUUUUCGGAUCGUAAAACUCUGUUGGUAGAGAAGAACGUUGGUGAGAGUGGAAAGCUCAUCAAGUGACGGUAACUACCCAGAAAGGGACGGCUAACUACGUG